AGGUUGGAAAACCAAUACUUUGGUAUAUUUGUAAAUGACACAGAUCCACCCAAGUCCAUGACAGUUUACGACGUCAGAGAUCCCGAACCGCCGUUCGAGCUAAUGACUCUCCAGUACACUGAUGUUUCGGAUUUUGGAUGUAGCGUAUUUUUUAUCUCUUCUCUUGAUGCAAAACUGGAAGGUGAUCCACGAAUAUGUGAAAUGUAUCUCCGAGAAAGCAAUGUUAAAGAAGGUCCUUCAACGAGCUGCCAGGUCUUCUUCAAUAAAAGUUGCGAUCCAACAAAGAUAUCAAAGCCGUACGAUGACACUUGCGAGAAUCUGCACAAAGGCCACCAGUAAAAUGAUAAUAAUUGGUUAUAGUAGCAGUCAUUAUUGAACAACAGCGUAAGAGAUCCCAUGUCAAACAACAAGUUACGAAUCUUGCAUCACACUAAGCCUACAAGUUUCUCGUGGCAUAAAAAAAUGAACCUAUCAAAGGAUUGCUACGUUCACAGAAAACAUGUGGGCUAUUGUUCUCGAGCCUUGCUGUUGACAAUUAGAAAAUCAAGAAAAUAAAUAGGUUCGUCCAGUGCAGAGGAUAUGAAAAGUUUUUCGUCAAUAUAGGUUCCCAAUGCAAGCCUCAGAAGAUUUUGCAGAUUGGUUGCAGUACAAAAUUGAAAAGAAGACGGCUUAAACCGCAUGUUGCGUUGCAUUAAUAAAAUAUAUCUUUUUGA